AGAGCAAGCCAGGGAGGAGAAAACAAAACUGCAGUUAGAUGCUCCGAAGCCGUUCUAUAGACACAAAAGCUGGGCGGGAGGCUGCUCCUGGAGACUGGUGGGUCUCCCAGGCUAGAAGCCACUGAUCUCCACCUGAGACUGGAGACCAGGCUAGCUUUUGGGAGAGAAUGCAGAGCGCACCAAGGACCUCCCUGCAGAAGUCCUAGUGAUUUAUGACAGGCCACCUCCCCUCUCUGGAACUGUGCCUCCUAUCUAUGAGUUGAUUCUAGACUAGCACUAUUUGCAGAAAAAUGGACAUGAAUGGCUCAAGACAAUCCCUAGUUUUUCCUUUUAGAUUUAUCUGUAAUGUCUCUGCAUGUGAGUGCAGGUGCCUGUGGAGGCCAGAAGAGGGCGCUUCUGAUUCCCCCUGGUGUGGUUACAGAUCCUUGUGAUGAGUCACCCAAUGGGAGCGCUGGCAACGGAACUCUAGCCCUCUGGAAGAACAGCAAGUGCUCUUAACCACUGAGCUGUUCUCUCCGGCCUCAAAUUCUAUAUUUCUAACAACCAAGUAGCACAGUUUUGAACCAGCUCCAACAUGCCUAGUGGCCACUUUGAUCCCAUGGCACAGCUCAAGAGAUGGGGAGCCAGGCUGAUAUCAGUAGAGCUACACUAUGGCACCAGCAAACCUGGAAGAUGGGAGAGCACCCAGCAUGCCGUGGAUUCCCCCAUAGAGAUUCCUGAUUGCUUGAACUAAAAUCACAUCUCCUGAACUACAGACAGCAGCUCAGAGGCUACAACACCAGAUUAAACAGCUCCCUGCAACAUGAUGGGGCGCCUACAGAAGUCAGCAGACCACAGCUGUGUGGGAGAUGUGCCAAGAAUGAACAACAGACAGAUUGGACUCAGAGUGCUGAACAAGGGCCAGACAUACAGGUGACAUGUCUCUUAUCAGAUCUCAUCAGAGGAAAUAGGAGAAGGCGCUAGAAUAUAGACAAACCCCCUAGGUAGGUGUAAGGACCACACUGGCUGUGCACACGCUAGUGUGCCCUAGCUUUUGGACAAGUGCAGGGAUAGUAACUGCCUUCCCUCAGGGUUGGAAUGAGGACAGACCGAGUAAAGCUCUUAGGGCAGGGCCUGGCAUGUGUUCACCAAGAGUAAGAGCCGCUGCCGUUUGACAGCCGUGAUUGACAGGAAUUUCACCCUAGCAACAAGCCCUGGGUAAUGAAGGCCACACACAAAUCAAGCUCCAGUUCUCAUCACAGAACAGAAAACCGAACACAAUGUCUGUGUGUAAUGUAAAAACAAAAGCACACACUCACCAUAAGGAGACUCGGGUUAUAAAAUCAUUCCUUACAAAGCAAUACUAAUUUUUCUGCUAAAUAUGACGAAGUAUCUAGUCUCUGCAGUAAAGAUAACACCAGGGUUUUAUUGGUGUGUGGGAGAGAAGGAAAGGUGUAUGUUAUAGUCUGCUUUAACGCAUUUGGAUUUAUCAUGGGAACUUAGGAGAUGAGACACUUUCCCACGAUAGUCUCAAUUUAUGCUCAUAGUCUUGUGAGCCAUCAUGUCCUCUCAGAUGGUUCUCAGCUUUGAGGACAAUGGGAUGUUCAUCCCUGUGAUAAAACUCCAAACAGUCAAGAUGCUGAUGGAAAGUUUGUGAGCUCCGAGGACAGUAAGGGUCCCCAUCUGUCCCGCCUUGCCAUGGUCAGGAGAGGGUCUAGCCUAGACGGUUGCUUAUGAGGUGUCAGGCCUCUGUAUAAUGCAGCCAGCUCUGUGGGAACUGAGAAGGAACUCCGGGCUGCUCUUACUGGUAUAUUUUUCUUCAGUCUGUAUUUUCAACAAAAUCCAAACAUCAUUCUUUUUCCCUCAGGUGGCAGAGAAAAGUCCCACCCUGCCUGCCACAUGGGGUCCUGGGCCUCUGCAUCCCACCUGUGUUCUAGCAAUAGCAAUGCAUUGCAGAACGACAAUGUUCUCUCUUCCCCUCCCCUCCUCCCUCUCUCAACUUUGAAAACAAACAUGACAAAAUUAAAAUGUGGCCCUGUUGCCUUGACCGUCAUGCAUUAUCAGCUUGCACAUAGUCUACCAUAGUAAAUAUGUCCUGCUCUCUGGGAGUUCUGUGCAGGGAGACUGGAGCCCAUGACCCCAGAAAGCCAGAGCCGCAACUGCGGUCCUAGGGUGACAUUAACACAUCUCGCUGUAAUGAGUGAGUCUGUCUCUGGCUAAAAAUGUUGUGGACAUUAUGACCAUAGAUAAGAUUGUAGCCACAGUGAUGCAGGCAUCAUAGAACUGACCAAAGCUGACAUACCAGUGGAUCUUCCAUAGCCAGAACCAUGGCAGGCAGGGCCACUGUGACCCCCACCCCUUUCUUCACUGAUUAGGUAAAAUGAAUACUUCCUGCUCUCCCUAAAGGAACCAGAUAGCUAAAAGAUUAAGAUAUUAUCGAAUCAAAACACAGUGCAAGGAUAAGGAAGGAGGAGAAUGAGGCUGGAGGCAUCUGGCCCCUUAAGAAAACCCGAGUCUUGUUAUGGAAACCCAAGUCCUGCUUUGAUUCCUGUCUACAGUGAGUAACCCAGAAAUCAAGUCGGCACCUUUGGGUGGAAACCAGAUGCCCUGGCUUCAUGGGGGGGGGGGGAACCAUGGUUUAGUGGGAUGAGAUUUUUCCCCCCAGCCUCUGUACAGCAAAUCUCUGGUGCUCUGCAGAAAGAGGCAUCAGGUUAGGAACUAACUGUCUGGACAAAAAUGCACACUGCUGUCUCCUGACAGUGGGAUAGCAUCUUAAUGCUGCAGGUAGAGGGGGCAGCUUUGAGCCCUUGACUUUCCUGUCUGUGGUAGUUUGGAUGUAAUUGGUCCCUAUAAGGCAUUAUUAAAGGCAUUAUUAGGAGGUGUGGCUUUGUUGGAAUAGGUAUAGCCUUGUUGGAGGAAGUGUGUCAUUGUGGGUGUGGGCUUUGAGGUCUUCUUUGCUCAAGCUUCACUCAGUGUGACACUCAGACCACUUCCUGCUGCUUGUGAGUCAAGAUACAGGACUUCAGCUCUUUCUCCAGCACCACGUCUGCCUGUAUGCCACCAUGUCACACCAUGAUAAUGGAUUAAGCCUCUCAAAAUGUAAGUCACCUCGAUUAAAUGUUUUUCCUUUAUAAGAGAUGCCAUGGUCAUGGUGUCUCUUCUCAGCAACAGAAACCAGAACUAAGACACUUCCACCAUCUUGCUCAUGGAAUAUGCAGCCUUACUGUGCUCUGUUACCUCCAUAAACUGAAGGUUAUGAUGGCAACUUCUCUCAGCUCCUGGGGGUGGGGUGGGGGGAGGGGAGCAGGGGAGCAGAAACACCUGCCAAGCACUCAGCUCUGUGGCACCUGCCAUGUACUUAGUGCUCAGUAAGUGUAUGUUUGAAUGAUUUUAUAACCAUUAAAAGCACAAGCACAGGCUCCUUGUACCAAAACAACAUGCACACUUGAGUAGACACACACACAAUUUGGUGGUAAAUAUAACUAUGUAAGUGAAUCCCAUCAUUGCUGUUUGGCUGAAGUUUCUGCAUUGUAGGUACAUGGUGCACAAACCAGGACCUGGCAGCAUUUUCAAGAAAUGAACAUGAUGCAGUAAACAUCAGUCAUCCCCAAACGAUGGGUUGAGUUUUUAAGAGUCCCUGUUUCUCUAACACACCUGGGAACAUAAUUCAGCUCUGAGUUUAUGUCUGCAAUUCACUCAGAAGACUUUAAAUAACCUAGUUUUCUGGAACAUGUAGGAAGUAAUGAGAAAUGGAUUCUUAGAUCAAGUGUCUCCACACAUCAUUUAAAUGCUAUUCAAUGGAACAGGUAUUUAGCAAGGUGAAUUUUGGUUAAGUGCCGUGCCAGUGGCACCCUGCUUAUUGGGAGAAUGGCAGGGUGUCCUGGGAGACCAGGGAUUCUCCCUGCCAUGGACCUUUUCCCUCUGUUCUCCUUCCUCCAGAAGUAACACUGGGCACAACUGUAAGGCUAUAGAGAUGACUCAGUGGGCGAAGUGCUUGCUACUCAAAUUUAAGGACCUGAGUUAGAAUCCCUAGGACUCACAUAUAAAAUCCUGGUGAGGUGGUGCACAUCUGUAAUCAUAGCACGCCUAUGAAAAGAUGGAGGCAGAGACUCGCCCUACUGCCAAAACCACAUGGCUCAUACAAGGUGGAAAGAGCACUAUCCCCUGAAGGUUGUCCUCUGAGUGCCACACGUGUGCACACAGCAUGUACAAGAAGGUCCCACACAAGGCCUGAGCAUGAGCUGAGAAGCCUGCAUUCCAAGAGGCACAACUGUGGACAAGACGGUGAGUUGAGUUUGUGGAGGAUGGCAGGUUUUAUAGAAAGACAAUGCUUACUUGUCAAAUUCAAAGUUAACCAAUGCAGCUCUCGUGAUGUCGCCCCAUCCCUGGAGUGUUUCUGUGAUAAAUUUGGACAAGCAUAGCCUAGUUAGCCAUGCAGGCACAUCUGGGUCCUAUCGUGGGGGAUGGCACCCACGGAACUGCAAUGUGCCAGGGGGUUCCAUUCUUGCUGCCAAGCAAGAGUCACCUCUGGAUACUG